rnacentral:misc_RNA from 1 species
GAACUGGUGAUUGAAAAAUGUAAGCUUGGCAGAGAAGAAAGAUCAACAAUGAAAUUAAAAGCAGCAGCUCAGUCGACAAAACAUUUUACGUGUUCAGCAGGACUUACUGGAAACAACUGUAGCAUCCCGUGUCGCUAUCCCAGUUUUGGCAAUUACUGUCAGAGCAUAUGCAACUGUAACAACUCCAGUUGCAACGCUGUAACUGGUUGUAUUGUGGGCUCUCCGACGUUACACCCUGUUUCAAAAUCGUCACCAGUCGUGGAGUCAUCUCAUUUCCUUGAUAACAAAAUCUCAACUUCAAAACUUUGCCCAGUUGGGUUCUUGGGCGCAAAAUGUGAGAAACCUUGCAUAUACCCAGGCUACGGUAGUGGAUGUCAGAUGAAGUGUAACUGUACAGAAGAAUUUUGUGACCCCGUGAAUGGAUGUAACGAUGUUACUAUUGAACCUCUGAAUUUGACGAAUUUUGUCCCUGCAAUCAGUUUGAAGAUGACUGUCCUAAGAUUUGUAAUUGCACUGACGGUAUUGAUGACCACAUAUCAAACUGUAAUGUGUCAGAUUACAAAGACAAAAAAAGGAACAAUUCAUAUACUUUGCGAAUUGCCGUCAUCACUAUUGGGGCCAUCGACUUAUUCGUAUUAUUAAUCUACAUCUGCGUGCAUAUUAGAACCCAAAAUGAGGAAAACAAAUAUCAAGUCCAACAUGUUGGUCUUAUUAUUAACAGGGAUCAUUUAUAUGAAAGUAUAAAUGUUGUGUAAAGUUAAGUGAUUGACCAUUUAUGACUUUUUCUUGAUAUUUGUUAAGUGUUUAGUAAUAUUACAAUUUAAAACAUAAGAUUAAAACAUAGUUUAAUUUU